AAGCUUCGGCCCGCAAAGAUGACGUAGUUCGUGACGCCUUGUGAAAACCGACUCCUGAUUGACCUAAAGGCGUUCGCAGUUGGGCUUUUAUUCCAACUUUCCCACCAGUUGACAUGAAUAUGUAGACGCAUCCUGGAGCACCCAGUCCUACGUUAGGUCAUUGCCAUCUUGAAUGUGGCAGUAGUAGAGCGAUCGAAGAUCCCCAAGUCCUGUGCGGACUUGUUUCAACCAUUUUACAAUACAAACUGGAUUCAUUGGAAUUACCUUUCACAGCCUGUGUACCAGGACAUCUCAGAACUCACUGGACUUCUCCCAGUUUGACCAGCAGACUGAAGCCCUGCCUGUGUUCCCUGUAUAAUAAAUAAAUGUGUUUUAUUGUACUUUUAUUCUUUCACUUUUUGUGUAUUUUUUAAUAUCGCAAUCUGAAGUGUUAGUGUACAGCUUAGUAAUGAAAUAAAAAUAAUUUACUCUCUUAGAA